rnacentral:tRNA from 1 species
CGGGGAGUAGCGCAGUUUGGUUAGCGCGCAUGGUUCGGGACCAUGAGGCCGGGGGUUCAAAUCCCCCUUCCCCGA